AGAGUUUGAUCAUGGCUCAGAGCGAACGCUGGCGGUGUGCUUAACACAUGCAAGUCGAGUGCGCGGUUGUAGCAAUACAACUGGCGCACGGCGCACGGGUGCGUAACACGUGGGUAAUCUGCCCUCUGAUGGGGAAUAACUCGCCGAAAGGCGAGCUAAUACCGCAUAACAUUCCUUGGACUCCGGUUCGAGGAUUCAAAGGCGUAAGUCGUCGGAGGUGGAGCCCGCGCACGAUUAGCUAGUUGGUAGGGUAAAGGCCUACCAAGGCUAUGAUCGUUAGCUGGUCUGAGAGGAUGGCCAGCCACACUGGAACUGAGACACGGUCCAGACUCCUACGGGAGGCAGCAGUGGGGAAUCUUGCACAAUGGGCGAAAGCCUGAUGCAGCGACGCCGCGUGGGGGAUGAAGCUUCUCGGAGUGUAAACCCCUUUCGACCGGGACGAAUACCUCGCAAGAGGGGUGACGGUACCGGUAUAAGAAGCCCCGGCUAACUACGUGCCAGCAGCCGCGGUAAGACGUAGGGGGCCAGCGUUGCUCGGAAUUACUGGGUGUAAAGGGUUCGUAGGCGGUGUGGCAAGUCGGGAGUGAAAUCUCUGGGCUCAACUCAGGGGCUGCUUCCGAAACUGCCGUGCUAGAGUGUGGGAGAGGCGCGUGGAAUUGCAGGUGUAGCGGUGAAAUGCGUAGAUAUCUGCAGGAACACCCGUGGCGAAAGCGGCGCGCUGGACCACUACUGACGCUGAGGAACGAAAGCUAGGGGAGCAAACAGGAUUAGAUACCCUAGUAGUCC
rnacentral:rRNA from 1 species